AACGAACGCUGGCGGCAGGCCUAACACAUGCAAGUCGAGCGAGGACUUCGGUCCUAGCGGCGGACGGGUGAGUAACGCGUGGGAACGUGCCCUUUGCUACGGAAUAGCCCCGGGAAACUGGGAGUAAUACCGUAUGUGCCCGAGAGGGGAAAGAUUUAUCGGCAAAGGAUCGGCCCGCGUUGGAUUAGGUAGUUGGUGGGGUAAUGGCCUACCAAGCCGACGAUCCAUAGCUGGUUUGAGAGGAUGAUCAGCCACACUGGGACUGAGACACGGCCCAGACUCCUACGGGAGGCAGCAGUGGGGAAUCUUAGACAAUGGGGGAAACCCUGAUCUAGCCAUGCCGCGUGAGCGAUGAAGGCCUUAGGGUUGUAAAGCUCUUUCAGUGGGGAAGAUAAUGACGGUACCCACAGAAGAAGCCCCGGCUAACUCCGUGCCAGCCGCCGCGGUAA
rnacentral:rRNA from 1 species